UACGGGGGAGCAAGCGUUGUUCGGAUUUACUGGGCGUAAAGGGCGCGUAGGCGGCCACCGCAAGUCAGUUGUGAAAUCUCUGGGCUUAACUCAGAACGGUCAACUGAUACUGUCGGACUAGAGUGCAGAAGGGGCAACUGGAAUUCUCGGUGUAGCGGUGAAAUGCGUAGAUAUCGAGAGGAACACCUGCGGCGAAGGCGGGUUGCUGGGCUGACACUGACGCUGAGGCGCGAAAGCUAGGGGAGCGAACGGG
rnacentral:rRNA from 1 species